CGGGAGGCAGCAGUGAGGAAUUUUCCGCAAUGGGCGAAAGCCUGACGGAGCAAUACCGCGUGAGGGAUGACUGCCUAUGGGUUGUAAACCUCUUUUUACAGGGAGGAAUCAAUGACGUGUACCUGAAGAAUAAGCAUCGGCUAACUCCGUGCCAGCAGCCGCGGUAAGACGGAGGAUGCAAGUGUUAUCCGGAAUCACUGGGCGUAAAGCGUCUGUAGGUGGUUUAAUAAGUCAACUGUUAAAUCUUGAGGCUCAACUUCAAAAUCGCAGUCGAAACUAUUAGACUAGAGUAUAGUAGAGGUAAAGGGAAUUUCCAGUGGAGCGGUGAAAUGCGUAGAUAUUGGAAAGAACACCGAUGGCGAAAGCACUUUACUGGGCUAUUACUAACACUCAGAGACGAAAGCUAGGGUAGCAAAUGGGAUUAGAUACCCCAGUAGUCCUAGCCGUAAACGAUGGAUACUAGAUGUUGAACAGAUCGACCUGUGCAGUAUCAAAGCUAACGCGUUAAGUAUCCCGCCUGGGAAGUAUGCUCGCAAGAGUGAAACUCAAAGGAAUUGACGG
rnacentral:rRNA from 1 species